rnacentral:rRNA from 1 species
UUUCUUGAUUAGUGGCGCACGGGUGAGUAAUGCAUAGAUAAUGUGCCUUAGUUCGGGAUAGCCACUGGAAACGGUGAUUAAUACCGGAUACUCCUUCUUGUUAUAAGACAAGUCGGGAAAGUUUUUCGCUAAGGGAUCAGUCUAUGUUCCAUCAGCUUGUUGGUGAGGUAAUGGCUCACCAAGGCUAUGACGGAUAUCUGGUUUGAGAGGAUGAUCAGACACACUGGAACUGAGACACGGUCCAGACUCCUACGGGAGGCAGCAGUGAGGAAUAUUGCACAAUGGAGGAAACUCUGAUGCAGCAACGCCGCGUGGAGGAUGACGCAUUUCGGUGUGUAAACUCCUUUUAUUAGGGAAGAUAAUGACGGUACCUAAUGAAUAGGCACCGGCUAACUCCGUGCCAGCAGCCGCGGUAAUACGGAGGGUGCAAGCGUUACUCGGAAUCACUGGGCGUAAAGGGUGCGUAGGCUGGCUUUUAAGUCAGAUGUGAAAUCCAAUGGCUCAACCAUUGAACUGCAUUUGAAACUGAAAGCCUAGAGUUCAGAAGGGGCAGAUGGAAUUAGUGGUGUAGGGGUAAAAUCCGUAGAUAUCACUAGGAAUAUCAAAAGCGAAGGCGAUCUGC